rfam:Gossypium raimondii chromosome 7, whole genome shotgun sequence.
GGGGUGGUGGCGCAGUUGGCUAGCGCGUAGGUCUCAUAGCUAUCUGAGUAAUUCUGAGGUCGAGAGGUCGAGAGUUCGAGCCUCUCUCACCCCA